AGGGCCUACGGGGGGCAGCAGUGGGGAAUAUUGGGCAAUGGGCGCAAGCCUGACCCAGCAACGCCGCGUGAAGGAAGAAGGCUUUCGGGUUGUAAACUUCUUUUGUCAGGGACGAAGCAAGUGACGGUACCUGACGAAUAAGCCACGGCUAACUACGUGCCAGCAGCCGCGGUAAUACGUAGGUGGCAAGCGUUAUCCGGAUUUACUGGGUGUAAAGGGCGUGUAGGCGGGGAAGCAAGUCAGAUGUGAAAACCACG
rnacentral:rRNA from 1 species